GAUCCUGGCUCAGAUUGAACGCUGGCGGCAGGCUUAACACAUGCAAGUCGAACGGUAACAGGAGAAAGCUUGCUUUCUUGCCGACGAGUGGCGGACGGGUGAGUAAUGCUUGGGAAUCUGGCUUAUGGAGGGGGAUAACGACGGGAAACUGUCGCUAAUACCGCGUAGAGUCGAGAGACGAAAGUGCGGGACAGCAAGGCCGCAUGCCAUAGGAUGAGCCCAAGUGGGAUUAGGUAGUUGGUGGGG
rnacentral:rRNA from 1 species